rnacentral:rRNA from 1 species
UACGGAGGGGGCUAGCGUUGUUCGGAAUUACUGGGCGUAAAGCGCACGUAGGCGGAUCAGCCAGUCAGGGGUGAAAUCCCGGGGCUCAACCCCGGAACUGCCCUUGAUACUGCUGGUCUGGAGUUCGAGAGAGGCGAGUGGAAUUCCGAGUGUAGAGGUGAAAUUCGUAGAUAUUCGGAGGAACACCAGUGGCGAAGGCGGCUCGCUGGACGAUAACUGACGCUGAGGCGCGAAAGCGUGGGGAGCAAACAGGAUUAGAUACCCGGGUAGUCCCU